rnacentral:tRNA from 1 species
AGAAAGAUAGAUUAAUAAAACCGUUGAGCUGUGGAAUCAAAAUUUUAUAUUUUUUUU